GGUUGGAUGGCCGAGCGAUCCAAGGCGCCAGACUAAGGAUCAGCUUCACUUGAAGCAAAAUUUACAGACCCGUCUGUAAUCUGGUCCUCCGGGGCGUGGGUUCGAAUCCCACUCCAAUCA